rnacentral:lncRNA from 1 species
CUUGGAUUGGUUUAGAUAUCUUUCCAACCCUUUUUUCUAGAGUGACAAAUGCUUUUUUUGGUCUGUUCUCAUAUCUCAGAUUACAACAGCAGCUGCAGUACUUGUUAAUUGUCUCAGAGCCUAAAAGUAAGUACAUGCCUUCUGUGUGGCAGAUAAAUUCUUUUACUCUCCAGGGGCAUUCACUUACAUCAAGCUUCUAUAGGUGUUCAGUUGAUUCAGUCUCACCACCGUUUUCAUUUUACUGGAAUUGAACCAACUCUAGGAGGUCAUUUUUUCACUUCCGACUGCAUACAGUUCGCUGGCCACAGACAUCAGCGAUGACAAACUUUUUGUAAUACACGAUAACUUCUUCUUUUUUGUUAGUUUGCUAGACAUCUGGAAAAACUGGUGUGAGUUAUAUUUUCUAUCCGCU